rnacentral:rRNA from 1 species
UACGUAGGGGGCAAGCGUUGUCCGGAAUCAUUGGGCGUAAAGAGCGUGUAGGCGGCCAGAAAAGUCCGUUGUGAAAACUCGAGGCUCAACCUCGAGCUGUCGGUGGAAACUUUCUGGCUAGAGUCCGGAAGAGGAGAAUGGAAUUCCUGGUGUAGCGGUGAAAUGCGCAGAUAUCAGGAAGAACACCCGUGGCGAAGGCGGUUCUCUGGGACGGUACUGACGCUGAGACGCGAAAGCGUGGGGAGCGAACAGG